AUUCUUUAUUUUAUUUGUGCAUACAUAAUUCACAUCUGGCUUACAAUGCCACAACAGCUAGAGUAAGCAUUUUUCGACAUAGCUUGACAGUAGUUAGGCAUUAGUGGAUACUGCACAGUUUUAUAUAUAACAACAUUGCUUAUCUAAGUGUUGUUCUGUGUUGCUGCAUAUAGAAGGUAAAGUACAAGAUUAAACAUAGCAGAGUAAUAUAAGUUUAGUGCUAUAGAGUAAGGUGUUCCUAUUGCAGGUUAUGCUAGGUGUACUGGUAGUUGCUUAAGAGAUUCUACAUGUGGAUUAUUAAGCUAUUUAUAGCGAUUAUUCGUAGCAGAGAAUACACCGUGAGAGAACAGUAUGAUUAGUUAUUAGAGAGACUAACAAUAUACGUGUACUAUUUG